GACGAACGCUGGCGGCGUGCUUAACACAUGCAAGUCGAACGGAAAGGCCCUGCUUUUGUGGGGUGCUCGAGUGGCGAACGGGUGAGUAACACGUGAGUAACCUGCCCUUGACUUUGGGAUAACUUCAGGAAACUGGGGCUAAUACCGGAUAGGAGCUCCUGCUGCAUGGUGGGGGUUGGAAAGUUUCGGCGGUUGGGGAUGGACUCGCGGCUUAUCAGCUUGUUGGUGGGGUAGUGGCUUACCAAGGCUUUGACGGGUAGCCGGCCUGAGAGGGUGACCGGCCACAUUGGGACUGAGAUACGGACCAGACGCCUACGGGAGGCAGCAGUGGGGAAUAUUGCACAAUGGGCGGAAGCCUGAUGCAGAAACGCCGCGUGCGGGAUGACGGCCUUCGGGGUGUAAACCGCAUUCGCCUGUGACGAAGCGUGAGUGACGGUAAUGGGUAAAGAAGCACCGGCUAACUACGUG
rnacentral:rRNA from 1 species